rnacentral:rRNA from 1 species
AGGAUCAUUAACGAAUUGUAAUUGGGAGUUCGAUGCUGGCGAGGUGGGAGAACCACCUUUGCAUGUGCUUGCUUCCAACAAUUUUUAUCCAAACACCUGUGCACCUUUUGAGGGGAGAUUAAUCUUUAUGGGUUUCUCUCUUCAUUUUUACAUACACGCUAAUUUCAAUGUUGAAUGUGCUUGUGCCUCUAUAACGGGGCCUUGAACGAAUACAACUUUUAACAACGGAUCUCUUGGCUCUUGCAUCGAUGAAGAACGCAGCGAAAUGCGAUAAGUAAUGUGAAUUGCAGAAUUCAGUGAAUCAUCGAAUCUUUGAACGCACCUUGCGCCCCCUGGUAUUCCGGGGAGCACACCUGUUCGAGUGUCUUGAAACUGUCAAGCUGGGGGUGCCUUUCGUUUGGAAAGGUUGCCUCUGCUUGGUUAUUGGGUUCUGCCGUGUCCCCUGCACUUGUUGGGGAAUGGGCUAGCCUUAAAAGUAUCAGCUGACCUUGAUAAUCUACUCGGCGUAUUAAUGAUACAUGAACCGCAGAGGACAUUACAAUCUUAGGUUGCUUUCUAAUCUGGUAUUGGUGGUUCUUAGGAAUUCAUCAUCCAUCUUCAGAUUUGACCUCGAAUCAGGUGGGACUACCCGCUGAACUUAAGCAUAUCAAUAAGCGGAGGAAAAGAAACUAACAAGGAUUCCCCUAGUAACGGCGAGUGAAGAGGGAAGAGCUCAAAUUUAAAAUCUGGCAGUCUUUGAUUGUCCGAGUUGUAGUCUAGAGAAGUGUUUUCCGUGUUGGACUGUGUACAAGUUUCCUGGAUACGGAACAUCAUAGAGGGUGAGAAUCCCGUCCUUGACACAGACUACCAAUGCUUUGUGAUGCACUCUCGACGAGUCGAGUUGUUUGGGAUUGCAGCUCAAAAUGGGAGGUAAAUUCCUUCUAAAGCUAAAUAUUGGCAAGAGACCGAUAGCGAACAAGUACCGUGAGGGAAAGAUGAAAAGCACUUUGGAAAGAGAGUUAAACAGUACGUGAAAUUGUUAAAAGGGAAACGCUUGAAGUCAGUCAUGUUUGCUCGGAUUCAACCUUGCUUUUGUGGGCUUGGUGCAUUUCCUUGUAGACAAGUCAGCGUCCAUGUCGUUCAUUGAAAAAGGGGUGAAAGAAUGUAGCUCCUCUGGGAGUGUUAUAGCUUUUGCUCGUAUGCGGUGAACUGAUAUGGAGUGGUACAGC